AUAUGCUAAGAAAAGUGCUAAACAUUUUUCGUGCAUUAUUUAUUCAAUCCUCAUAGUAAUCAAAUAAUAGAUGCAAUAACUAUUCCCAUUCACUCAUUCAAGAAAUAUUGAAUUUCUAUUAUGUGUUGGCCACUCUUCUAGAAUGGGUGAGACAAAUUGCUUGCUUUCUUGAUGCUUUCCUACCAAUGGAGGACAAUAAACAAACAAACAAUCUUACAGAAUAUUGGUAGUAAUAAAUAUCCAGAGGAAUGUUAAGCAAGACAGGAGAUGAUGGAUAGUGACGGGAAGCACCGUUUUAGACAGGGUGGUCUGGAAGUGCCUCUCUGAGGAGGUGACAUUUGAGAAGAGACUUGUACACAGUAAGAGAGAGUGAGACAUCUUAUAAAAGAGGUAACAUGAACUCAAAAAAGGCUAAGUAACUUGCCAAGAGUUACACAAACAGAAAAUGGUGAAGCUAUAAUUCAAGCCUACGGAUGACAAACUUUGGAACUUUCACUUUCAGCUACUGUACUUCACAGCCUCAGUGUUCUGGGCUAAUUCCACCACAAGCCUAGAGGGCAGAUCUGAAUGCAUUACCCCAACUCCUGGAAUUUCAACUACCAAGGUCAGGGCUUGCUGCCCACGAAUGUUCAGUGGUGUUCUUGCUAUGGCCGCUGCAGUGUGGCUGGGUUGUGAUUUCACAGCAAAUAGAUAAACACGUCUUUGCUUAGAUCAAAUGUGAAUUUAUAACCAUCUUUUAUGGUAGGGAGAGUUCAAAUAACAAGUCCAAGGUCACACAACUAAAUAGACUAGAACCAGAACUCACACCUAGACCACCUGGGCCCAGAAACCACACUCAUGUCCUCAGGAAUUCAGUG
rnacentral:lncRNA from 1 species